rnacentral:rRNA from 1 species
CAAUAGCGUAUAUUAAAGCUGUUGCGGUUAAAAAGCUCGUAGUUGGAUUUCUGUCAAGGACAACUGGUCCGCCCUCCGGGUGAGCACAUAGUUUGGUCUUGACAUCUUGCUGGAAGCUGUUGCUGCACUUGGCUGUGUGGCGCAGUGUUCAGCACUUUCACUUUGAGGAAAUUGGAGUGUUUCAAGCAGGCACAUGCCUUUGGACACAGUAGCAUGGAAUAAUUAGAUUGGGCUUUUGCUCCAAUUUGUCGGUUUCUGGAGCUGAGGUGAGUAUUAAUGGGGAUUGUUGGGGGCAUCCGAAUUUAGCCGUCAGAGGUGAUAUUCUUGGAUCUGCUAAAGACGGACAACUGCGAAAGCGUUUGCCCAGGAUGUUUUCAUUGA